rnacentral:rRNA from 1 species
GACGAACGCUGGCGGCGUGCUUAACACAUGCAAGUCGAACGGUGAAGGGGUCUGCUUUUGUGGGCCCUGGAUGAGUGGCGAACGGGUGAGUAACACGUGAGUAACCUGCCCCCUUCUUCUGGAUAACCGCAUGAAAGUGUGGCUAAUACGGGAUAUUCUGGGUCUGUCGCAUGAUGGGUCUGGGAAAGAUUGCGCCUUUGGGUGUUUUUGGUGGGGGAUGGGCUCGCGGCCUAUCAGCUUGUUGGUGGGGUGAUGGCCUACCAAGGCGGUGACGGGUAGCCGGCCUGAGAGGGUGGACGGUCACACUGGGACUGAGACACGGCCCAGACUCCUACGGGAGGCAGCAGUGGGGAAUAUUGCACAAUGGGCGCAAGCCUGAUGCAGCGACGCCGCGUGAGGGAUGGAGGCCUUCGGGUUGUAAACCUCUUUCGCAAGUGAAGCAGGCCUGCUCCUUGUGGGUGGGUUGACGGUAGCUGGAUAAGAAGCGCCGGCUAACUACGUG